CACGAGUGAUACAUUUAUGUACCAUUGCGUGGAAUAGUGGCUUAAAAAAUAAGGGAAGCAGCGCUUGCAUUGCUAUCUGUAGGAUAGACCGAGAGCGUUUUUAAUGGAAUUACCUCGCGAACCUGGUGAAGUCUUCGUUUUGGGCAGGCUAUUUUAUGAGAGCCGGUCCUGUUGCGAUGCAUUUGAUACGCUUUCCUGAAGCAGCGUGCUUUGUUCUUGUAGUGUGGUUUACGCCUUUAUCAAUAGAAAUGAAUAGAAGUGUUUGUUUGUUUGUUUGUAUGUUUAUUUGUUUGUUUGUUAGUAUGUGUCUGUCACGUUCGUAGCGCUGUUCAAGCUUGAUUUGCUUUGCAAAAAUUCAGACUUUAUGGUAUUAAGCUGUUCGAGUAGAAGUGACUUUCCCUGCUCGCUUAAGAUAAAUUGUGUAUCCCUGCCCUGUGCUUUCUUCACGCAGGGACAAUGCAAAUGAGUAUUUAGCAUUAUGCAAUAAUUAUCUGAUAGCAGAAAUGGGUGUCUUUGUCACAGUUUAUUAGCGUGUGUGUCGAUAUUUUAUUUUAUUUUAUUUUUUUCUCUUAUUGCUAUGCGAGCAAAAGUGUGUGUAAUUUUUCGCUGCUCUUUUCUUAUUUUCUCUACUUUUAUGUAGAAGAAAGCCUCCUGCGUAAAAGCUGAAUAGUGUUCUAUCAGUGGAAGUGGGGUUGUUUGUUUGAUUUUGUUGGGUGUUCGAUAUCUUGACGAAGUAAGCAGUGCUUAAUUUUGCAGGUUUUUGAGCAGAAAUGCUGGUAUCUGAGCACGGAGUAGAAAUUGCUAUAUUUCUCUGCUCCUUAAGAAAAUUUGUACGUCGUUUUCCAAGCAGACCGCGUUUAGUUUACGCGAAGUAGAAAAAUGAAGUUGUGUAUGCUCUAUGAUGAUCCGCCGCAGGCUUAGGCCUUUUCCCCGAUGAGCAGUGUUUUGUAUGCGAUGUCGCAUGUCUGGACUUGUUCAGUGUUGCAAUUUUUACCCUUCGUUAAUAUCUUGUUGUUGUCGUCGUCUUGUGUUAGACGUUGAGCUUCGUAGCGAUGUGCGGUAACGCUACGAUUAUUCCUGAGCGCUCCGUGUGUUUAAUGCGUUGUCCUCUUUGCGUGCAUGCGUGUGCUUUUUUUCUCCUGAUUUGUGACGUCCUCGUGGCAUGUCUGGACUUGUUUAGCAGUGUUGCUGUUCUUCCCGCUGCUAGUAUCUUGUUGGUGUCAUGUUGUGCUAGCCGCGUGGCGAUGUGCUGUGGUCUUAAGCCUUUUCCCUGCUCACCUAAGGAAAUUUGUGUAUCCCUGUCCUGUGCUUUCUUUACGCAAAGGUAAUGCGACUGUGUAUGUGGCAUUAUGCAAGAAUUACCUGGUGGCAGAAAUAGGCGUAUUUUUCUCAGUGUAUUGGCGUGCGCUACGGUUUCUUGCAGUUACAGCUAUUGGAGCACACAUACGUGUAAUUUUUCGCGGUUCUUUUCUCCUUUCACGGCUUUUACUCAGAAUGUAGAUGAGGGGAAACAGUCAGCAUCCAGGUAGAGCAGGAGAAAGCCGCUCGGCAGAGGAGAGAGUUCAUGAGAAUGGAAUUUGUUUGUUUUUUGUUAUAUGUUGAGUGUUAGUAUUCGCUUUCCUCGAUAUGUUGAGGAAGUCAGCCGUUAUAGGUAUUUGUGCAGAAAUGCUGGUAUCUGAGUGUGUGGAGUAGAAAUUCCUAUAAAGCACCUCUCCUUGUGCAUUCCUGAGCUGCUGUGUGCGCGCGCGUGCUUCUUUUUCCUGGAUUGCGACGUCAUGAUGGCAUGUUGGGGCUUGUUUAGCAGUGUUGCAAUUUUACCCGCCGCUAUUAUCUUGUUAUCUUGUGUUAGCCGCGUAGCGAUGUCCAGUGACUCUGCUAUUAUUCCUGAGGUCUUAAGCCUUUUCCCUGCUCACCUAAGGAAAUUUGUGUAUCCCUGUCCUGUGCUUUCUUUGCGACAAUGCGUCUGUGUAUGUGGCACUAUCAGAUACCAGACAUGAGUGUCCUUUUCUUGGUUUAUUGGCAUAUGCUUCAGGUUUUUUUAAGUCAAGCACAAGUGCGCGCAAUUUUUCGCUGCUCUCUUCCUCAGAUCACCGAUUUUACGAAGAAGACAGUCGCAUGGUACAGCUGAGAAGAGGGUUUCUCUGAUUGUUUGUUUGAUUUUGUUGGGUGUUCGAUAUGUUGAGGAAGUCAGCUGUUAAAGGUAUCCGUGAAGAAAUGCUUGCACCUGAGCGCAGGAUAGGAAUUCCUGAAGCACGGCACCCUCAGUGUAAAUUAAUUAUGUUGGAUAUGAGUCUGCUUCCCUGCAUGACAAGGCUGAAAUGGGAAGAGAGAAAAAAUUGGAGCGCUUCAUUAGUAGCGAUCCAAGUAAUAGGGCAAUUAUAGUUUCCAUAGAAAGUAGAAUUUUAAUGGGCUCCUAAAACUAUAGUUUAGUUGUAGUUUUUCUAAACUGCAAUGCAAUAAUCAUUAAUAUAGUAUAGGAAUGCUAUCGUGUUCCCGUAAAGGCGUUCUGUCUUGUGCUUUGGAAUGCGCGAAUAGAACUUUGCUCGCAGCCUUUCCCGCCUUCAUGCUCGCAAUGCGCGAAUGGAACUUUGCCCACCCGGCUUCCGCGCCUUUUUUGCUCGCGGGUGUAGCCUCAGACAACGAAUGUAUGAGCAUAGAAAGGGUCACGUAUUACAUAAGCCUGGAGGUGAUGUUGAGUGGUCUCACUUAUUAUUUUAAAAGAGCAGUGGCAGUUUACUGUAAUUCUAAUGACCAUGAUGAGCCUUUGGGGUGAAAAUCGUUAAUAUGCGGGGUGCUUUUUUGUUGAAUUUUAAUGAGAGAAUCAAUGUCAUUAAGAGUAGGACAAAGGAAAUAAUCUUGCGAUUCAAUAAUUAAUAGAAGUCUUUGCCGCUGUCUUCUUCUUCAGACAGGAUGUGAUGACGACACGCAGUCUGUAGCAAUGCAUUGACCGUCACUGGAAAAAAAGUGUAGCAAUAGAAAAAUGGUGUGUAUUGCCCUGGACGGAUUUAUGAUGUGCACUGUUUUUGAACAAGAGGAGUGGGUGUGCUUGGAAAUAGUUUGAUGCUGGUUUCCUUCUUUGUUUCUUUUCGCUUUUUCCCCCUUGUUGUCUGACAAACAUGCGCUGACAUGCCUGGGCUUGUUCUGACAUGCUUUCCUUCUAGAUGUAGAUUUUUCUUUUUUGAAGAGAAACCUUCUUGACGAUAGUGCUGCCUUGAAUGGGAAUAGUGCUAUUCUUAAUACUUUUGCGAUUCAUUUAGUUCAGAGAGUAUAACCGCGAGGGGGACAGGUGUGUGACUUUAUUCAGGAGGAACAAAGCAUCAUUAUUCAAUUAUCUGCAUGGCUCUCGGGUGGUCCUGGAGGUGAUGUGGAGUGGACUCACUUAUUAUUUUAAAGAGCAGUGGUAGUUUACUGUAAUUCUAAUGACCAUGAUGAGCCUUUGGGGUGAAAAUCGUUAAUAUGCAGGGUGCUUUUUUGUUGAAUUUUAAUGAGAGAAUCAAUGUCAUUAAGAGUAGGACAAAGGAAAUAAUCUUGCGAUUCAAUAAAUAAUAGGAGUCUUUGCCGGUGUCUUCUUCUUCGGACAGGAUGUGAUGACGUCACGCAGUCUGUAGCAAUGCAUUGACCGUUACUGGAAAAAAGUGUGGCAAUAGAAAAAUGGUGUGUAUUGUCCUGGGCAGAUUUAUGAUGAGCACUGUUUUUGAAUAAGAAGAAAUAGUUUGAUGCUGGUUUCCUUCUUUGUUUCUUUUCGCUUUUUCCCCCCUUGUCUGACAAACAUGUGCUGACAUGCCUGGGCUUGUUCUGACAUGCUUUCCUUCUGCAUGUAGUUUUUUUUCUUUUUGUACAGACAUAUUCUUGACGAUAGUGCUGCCUUGAAUGGGAGUAGAGCUAUUCUUAAUAAUUUUGCGAUUCAUUUAGUUCAGAGAGUAACCGCGAGGGGGACAGGUGUGUGACUUUAUGUCUUGCUGAACCAUUUUUUUUCCUGUACAGUAAGACUUUGGGAAUGAAAUGCUACAAUCUCCUCUUGUCUAUGGUGUUUUUCUGCAAUAGUUCCCCACGCAAUCAUUAUAGUAGAAUAAAGGAAAUAAUCUUGGGAUAGUGAUUCAAUAAAUAAUAUGUCCCCUGUCUAGAGCGUACGCGUCCUUGAGCCACGCACCUGCAUGAUGACCGCAUACCGAGAGACUAUUGUUUCAGGUUGACCUUGUCUAGAGGAGCAUUAGUGGAAAAAAACUGUGUAGCCCUGAGACAAUAGGAUGCCGUUACGACCAAUGAGAACGGCCUGCAGGGGGCGCAAGGAUUCACUUCUCUCUUGGACACUGACGGGUCUCGACACGCAAAUUCUGCUCCUGGCGUUGGCCGUCAGUGGAAGAGCGUAGCUUCGGUCUGCCUCUGAUGGGGUGCGGAUGUGUGGUUCGUAACUGGUGAAUGGUGUACGACGAUGCAGGUGGAUUUUGUGACGAGCGGAUUUACGAUGAGGGAAUGCUGUGAACGGGAAAAAUGAUGGUGAGUGCCUUUUUCACUCUGUUCAAGUGUUUGUUUUCCUCUGUUGCCCAGCAGUCGUACGAAUUUGUUCUGACAUGCCCCGAUAUGCAUGCUUUCCUGUGUUGACGUUUUGUAAUUUUUCUCUUUUGACAAGGAACAUUGUUGUCUUGACGAUAGUGCUGCCCUGAGUUCUGCGCUCCUGUUUACCCGUACUCUGUGUUGAUUUGUUGAGUACCUAGUCCUCUUAUUUGCCGUUGAUGGAGUUACGUGUUAGGAUAUUUUGUUCUUUUGCAAGUCUCAUUUAGUAAGUCCUUCGAUCAGCUUUCAUGCAUGGUGCUCUUCUGCAAUAGUUUCCUAUGCAAUCGUUAUAGAAGAAUAAAGGAAAUAAUCUUGGGAUAGUGAUUCGAUAAAUAAUAGGUCCCCUGUCUAGAGCGCACGCGUCCUUGAGCCACGCAGGUGCAUGAUGACGUCAUACCGUGGCUUCAUUGUAGAUUGACCAAAGGAGCAUUAGUGGAAAAAAACAGGGUAGCCCUGAGACAAUAGGAUGAUGUCUGGACCAAUGAGAACUGCCAGCAGGGGGCGCAGGAAUGCUCUUCUCACUUAGCCUCACGACCAAUGAGAACGGCCAGCAGGGGGCGCAGGAAUGCUCUUCUCACUUAGCCUCUCGCAGGUGGCGGUAGGAGCGCGCAGAGGGCGCUACGAGCGCGCGCAUGCGUAGCACCCGUAGAGUGGCGCUUACGUCAGUCCACCUCUGGCUCUCGUUGGGAGAAGACGUGCGGUCGUUCGCUCCGUCGUCACUUGACCCCUGGCUGUCGACGAGAGCAGUCGCAUCGGUCUGCGCUCCUACUGUGAGCUGUCCUAGCUUGCCCAGACAUGCCGUGAUGACGUCACAGCUAACGUUACAGGAUGUCCGGAACUGGUGGUCAUAGCUGCGAUGCUUUGCAACCUGCCUCCGUGCUCCGUCGCCCAGCGACGGUCAGCGGCCUUUCCGGGUCGCUUUCUUCAAGAUGGCGCCGUUGAUCUUCAAUUAAACUCCUUCUCUCCACUCUAUUUCUAUCUAUUUUUUUAUUUUUUAUGGACUCUCAUAGUGCACAACGCUCGGGUGGUCUGGACACGAGUUAGACGUUCCCCAAUUAGUUUGAUGACUCAUUGGAUGAUGCUGAUUAAUGUGGGGGGUCCCAAUUAGCUCUAAUUGCUAAUUAAUGGCGUCCAGAAGCCUUGUAGCGUUGUGCACUGUGAGAGUCCAGUACUUACUACUGAGACUAGGGAACAUGAAGGGACAGACACAAACAGUCACAACUCUAUAGUGUUUAUGCACAUGACGUCACGGGAGCACGUUGUCUGUUCCGACGCCACAUUGUGGUACUACCGGAUCGGACUCUGUGCUUGUUGACGAUGUUGACGGAGUGUCAUUUGUAUCGCUUCCUUCCACAACGGAUAUGCGGCUUCAUGUGUGACGAAAGCGUAGGCACGAAAUAUAUAGACAGCUCGGACGGCUAGGAUCCGUCCCGCUAUCGAGCGAAAAUGGAGUCACGCUCUGGCCUUGAUCCGUAGGCUCUAAAGCGUGGUCACUGUACACACGAUUUGUCCUUGUGGCAGCAGGUGGACCUUAGUGAUAUCCUGUGACACCCUGUGGUGAAAAAUAGCUUUACUUCGACGAAACAACUCAGACAAAGAAGUCACUGGAUAACGAGACAGGGAGGCGCACACAAAGAAGACACAGACUGACAGACACAAACCGGACGGGCGCUAACUUCCAACAGGAUUCUUUUGAAAAAAAAAUUAAAAAAAAAACACUUGGGCUAUAUAUCUUGCACAGGGUUCGGAUGCUCUCAGAAAAGCAAGUUCUUUAUCAGAUAACGUCACUGACGGGGUGCUGACGCGCACGGGUACCGAGCGCUGCAAUCUUUUCGGCUCCUAUAAUUUCCCUAGUGGUCUUAUUAGCGCACUUCGCUAUCACACCCCACUCACAUAGAAUAGGUUUACAUCCCCACGAAUUACAGUGCAAUACGAGCCACCCUUCCCUCUGAUUCUUAACAUUGUUGCUGUGCUCUCCAAGCCUGUCAUUAAGACAGCGGCCAGUUUGACCCACAUAUUGUUUUCCGCACGAGAGGGGGAUGGAAUACACCACGUUCUUUACAUACAUUUGGGUUGUUAUGUUUUUUGAAGCACGGUUUGACAGUUUUCCUAUCUGGAGCAGUUGCUCUGCAGGGCCCAAGCAACUUGUCUGGAGCGGUGAACGCAACAUUCACACCUGCUGUGCCCCCUAUUUUCUUUAGGUUAUGCGACACCCUGUGCAGGUAGGGUAUCGCUGCAAUGUUACGUGUCCUCUGCAGCAGGGUUUGCAGCUGUGCCUGAGCAGGGUCGUAACUUUUUCGAAGGGGCUCCUGCCACUGCACAUAACAGGUGUGCGGGGUAGCCUGAGCUGAUAAGUCUACGUGCUACGGCCAGUUUGAACCAGCAAGCAUAUAUAUAUGUAUCAUUUCAAAGCUGCCAUCCGCCGCACACGAAACUGGCCAUCCCCUAUAGUCAAGCCCUUAGAAAAUAUGCUCAAAUGAUGGCGAUCUGGAAAAAAAUUUAGAACAGCUGCAACAAACCUUCGUUGAUCGUCAAUAUCCACUGAACCUGGUGCAAGAUGCUCUCAACAGGGCUCGCAAAGUAGAUCGCAUUAGCUUGUUCGAAAAAAAGAAAAAUAACUCGAAAACCCAUUCGGUAAACUUAACUGUAACAUUCUCCGGAAAUAUCCCAAACAUUAACAGCAUACUUAAUCGCCACCAUAGUAUCCUCCUCCAGUCCGAACGCACUAAGGAAAUUUUUCCCGAACCACCACGUGUCGCUUACAGACGUACACGUAAUCUGCAGGAUAACUUGGUCCGCUCUAAAGUAAACAGUACGAUAAACCCUUCGAUUGGUUGUCACCCAUGUAAUGGCCGACGUUGUCAGAUUUGCAAACUAAUGCAGACCACGCAGGAAGGCAAAAGUACAAACUCUAAUUUUACCGCCAAGAUCAUUGCGGACCUAGAUUGCAAUUCCUCGAACGUCAUCUAUGCAAUCCAAUGUAACGCAUGUCAAGCACAAUAUGUGGGUCAGACAAAAACUUCUUUCAGAGUCAGAUUCAACAACCACCGAUCGGAUGUCACCAAAAAACCUAAUCUUCCGGUUUCCCGCCAUUUCAAGCAGCCAGGACAUUCUAUUAACGAUGUAUCAAUCUUUAUUCUCCAGUCAAACUUCAGCUCUGACCGCUCCCGAGAGCAGCGCGAAUCCUACCUAAUCUACAAAUUCCAAUCGACCAUUAACGAAGACCCCGGCAUGCUAUCAACAAUUAGAAGUCUAACCUCGUAGAUAAGGCACUUUUUUCCAAUUCCUUUUCAGCUGGAUGGGUGGCCCAACCUGGACAAAGCCACUCCCCCAAGGACGAUGACAUCACACUUGAACCUCACAAGUCAACAUUCUCGAACGUGACCCAUUGACGACCGCCAGCAAAGUUUGAAGCAGCACUCACCCUGCCCGGAAUUUUCCCGAAAGCGGACAGUGACCUACGGCGAAUGACAUCACCACCCGGACUUGACCUUCUGGAAUAUUCCCGAAUCUGACUCACUGACAAACGCCUGUGGCGUGCCCGUACCGAUUAUGACGUCAUGUAGCAAACCUAUUUAAGAAAUGUGUAAUCAGCUACGCAUCUUUAGUCCUGACGAAGACAGUGCCACUGUCGAAACGUCGACAACCCUUUUAGCAUUCCAAGUAUCUUAAAUGUAAAUAAAUUAUCCCUUUUUUCUUA